GCUGCGCUUGGCAGGCGGAGUGCCAGUGCUGGCACCGCUACCGGUACGCGGACCGUUCUGACGGCCACCGGUACGACCCGCUGGCGCAGCGCCA
rnacentral:tRNA from 1 species